CCGCCCGUCACAUCACGAAAUGGGUUGUACUAGAAGUCUGCGCGCUAACCCGCAAGGGAGCAGCGGCCCAAGGUAUGACUCAUGAUUGGGGUG
rnacentral:rRNA from 1 species